rnacentral:rRNA from 1 species
UACGUAGGGGGCAAGCGUUGUUCGGAAUUACUGGGCGUAAGGGGCGCGUAGGCGGCACGGCAAGUCGGGAGUGAAAGCCCGGGGCUCAACCCCGGAGGGUCUCUCGAAACUGCCGAGCUAGAGUGCGGAAGAGGCAAUCGGAAUUCCCAGUGUAGCGGUGAAAUGCGUAGAUAUUGGGAAGAACACCGGAGGCGAAGGCAGUUAACUAUUCGGCUACUGACAUUGAGGCAUGAAAGCGUGGGGAGCAAAACGG